UUCUGUAUAUGUGAAAGAGUGUACUAUUGCUGGAAAAAGAGCUAGAGCUCAAAAUUUACUCUGAAUGCUGUUUUCUGUUGUGCUGUGCUACAACCAUCAAUUCAUUAUAGUGAACAUUCAGCUGAAGCUUACUGACUUUCCAUACAAUCUUAAGUUUUCUCCCUGGUGAAAUAAUUUCUGGGUUUUUGCCAAAUUCCCCAGGCCAUACACACACUGUGCUAGGAUGUUUGAAAAGAGUGCACUUACCACUGAAGAGUGAAAAUUUGUUCUAGUUUCUUGGGUUUUGCUGCAAGUACUUGCUGAAAUUGUCAGUUUCUGAAAGUUUUUUUUCAGAAGCUGUGUGUGUUCAGCAGCUGUGUGAAAAUAUUAAUGUCAAAAAGGAGAAUGGCACAAAAACAUAUGAGCCGAAACAAAUAUACCAUUGGACUCACUAAAUACGUAACAGGCACCAACAGCCAAGGAAGUGCGAAACGAAUUUACUAAUCAAUCUGUUUGGCCAGAAGGGAAAGAAGAGUGGCAGUAGAGGUGUCUAAAUUUUAGCAGAUU